UACGUAGGGUGCGAGCGUUAAUCGGAAUUACUGGGCGUAAAGCGUGCGCAGGCGGCUCUAUAAGACAGAUGUGAAAUCCCCGGGCUUAACCUGGGAACUGCGUUUGUGACUGUAGGGCUUGAGUGCGGCAGAGGGGGGUGGAAUUCCACGUGUAGCAGUGAAAUGCGUAGAGAUGUGGAGGAACACCGAUGGCGAAGGCAGCCCCCUGGGUCGACACUGACGCUCAUGCACGAAAGCGUGGGGAGCAAACAGG
rnacentral:rRNA from 1 species